UAGGGAAUCUUCCACAAUGGGCGAAAGCCUGAUGGAGCAACGCCGCGUGUGUGAUGAAGGGUUUCGGCUCGUAAAACACUGUUGUAAGAGAAGAAUGACAUUGAGAGUAACUGUUCAAUGUGUGACGGUAUCUUACCAGAAAGGAACGGCUAAANACGUUUGCCAG
rnacentral:rRNA from 1 species